UUUUUUUUUUGUUUUGUUUUGUUUUUUUUUUUUGCCUCAAUAAAAUUUUCCCGCAUCACAGCCUCAGAUGACUCCUCUUCCCUUCGUCUCCCAAGACAAUUCCAACCUCUCACAGCCUGAAUCCAGGUGUCAAUUUUCCAUCAGCUCCGCCUCAGGUUUGUUGUUCACCCCUUUUUUCCAUCCUGACCAAGCCACUCAUCCCAUCAGAGGUGACUUUCCGAGGUGCCGAGACUUAUUCAGGGAAAUAUUUCACCCCAAACAAAAAUUACUUGGUGUAAUUUUUCCUUCCUUGUUGACCAACCUCAUUCCCUAACACCACUCAAAAUCCAUCAGGAGAAACAGAAAGGAAUUUUGGAGGCAGGGGGGGAAAGGAAAAAUGCCUCAUUCCUUUCCAUGGGUUUGGCACUGACUUCAACAUCCCCAGGCAGAAAAAUUAUAAAGAAAUGCCACAUAAAAUCAAGCCUGCUCUCCUAAAAUCAGUUGCUGAUUUUAGGAGUGGGCAGUUCCUGAUGUGGGCAGUUUGUUAGCAUAACAAUCUUCGUUAUCCAGAUAAAUAAUUCUAAAUUAAUUCUAAUUUGAUGUUCCCUUUUAUGUCUCAUCCAUGAUGAUCUUGGAGGCCCUUCCCAACCACAAUCAUUUCAGGAUAUGAUUUUAAUUAGUAGAGUGGACUUUCCCAUCAAACCCUAUAAUGACAAAAUGCAAUAAAAUGUGAUUUAUAUUAAACCAGCUUUUGUUGGUGCCUUUGAAAAUGAAAGUUUAAUCAACCUGAAUGAUUAAUUCCACGACACUUUGGUGUGGAGGUGAAAGUGCUGUUCACCUUUUCCAUGUCCUGUUGGAAUCAUGGCUCCUGAUUUUCCACUUUAUAAUAAUGAUGAUAAACCCUCAAAACCACCUGCAAUUGAUAAAUCCGUCCACAGACCCCAGCAAGCAGAUGGGGAGGGAAAAAUAACCCAAUGAAGAUUAAAAAAAACCCCAAAAACCUCCUGUUUUAAGUAAAUCCAUAAAGCCCCACCAGAAUAAAUCAGAAUAAAUGCCAAAACCAAACCAGCAAAGGCCUUCUGGGGGAAAAAGGCUGCCAAAAAAUAGAAAACACCUGGUUAGAAAACUCCACCUAAAGAAAUUAUCAAGAAUUGAGAAAUGAGCAGAGAAAAAAAGAGGGAGAAAGGGAAAUGGAUCAAUUUUAACAAAAAGAGGGAGGAAAUGGCAAAACCCCACAAAAUAUAAACUGCGAGAAAGGAGGAAGAACAACAAUCCAAAGGCAAAAAGCUCCUUAAAAUGUUGAUAACGAGAACAAACUCUGAAUUUUUCCAAAGCAAAUCUGCAGGUGCCACUGAGCCCUCAGCUCUGCACCAAUUCCAUGUCAGGAUUCACCAUCCAGAGGGUGCUUGGACCACGGAUUUUGGGUUUGUCACCUCCUGCUCUCCCUGUCCCCACCCUGAUGGAAAGGUUUGGGGCAAUCCAGAGUACCCAGGUCAGGGAAUUGUGGAAGGAUUUGGGUGGGAAGGGACCUUAAAGAUGUUUAAUUCCAACAUUUGGAAUUCCACCAUCCCAGUUUGCUCCAGUCCCAUCCGACCUGGCCUUGGAUGUUUCCAGGGAUGGGGCAGCCACAGAUUCUCUGGGAAUUCCAUCCCAGCCCCUCACCACCCUCACAGGGAGGAAUUCAUUCCCAAUAUCCCAAAUUCCCUCUGUUAAUUUAAAGCCAUUCCCCUCCUCCUGUCCCUCCAGCCUCUUUCCCAAAGAUUUCACUCAAAUCAAACUUGGAAACAAAGGAAGCAGGAAGGAAUUAAUUCCCAAUAUCCCAAAUUCCCUCUGUUAAUUUAAAGCCAUUCCCCUCCUCCUGUCCCUCCAGCCUCUUUCCCAAAGAUUUCCCUCAAAUCAAACUUGGAAAUUAAGGAAGCAAAUCCAUGGGCCAGGAUCCCACUGUCAGCAUCCCGUUAUUCCUGGGGGGCUGCACCCAACCCUGAGAAGGGACCCCAAAUCCCUCCACCUUGGAAAAGCCUCUGGAGUGAUGGCUCUGCCUAAACCUGAGAGUAAAAGGGUUUGAAAAUCACGGGGAUUUAGGGUUAAAAGGAAAAUUAAUCUUAGUAGGCCCUGAAAACAAUAAAUACAAAAUACCUGGGUACAUUCAGACCUCGUACCUUGCUAGAGCUGCACCUGUACAUGAUAAAUGAUAUAAUUGUUAGAUGUGAUGAUUGGUUAGUAAUUAAAUAUAGCUGCUGUUUAAUCGUAAGAAUAAUCAUUACAAACUGUGGUCAGGGGCCUAAGAAAGAUCACGAGAAACUCGUGCUUGAAUAAAGUCAAUGUAUACAACAGAACAAUGUAAGUUUAACAAUUGAUAUGUGAGUUAUAUAACGAUGGAAUAUAAAAUAGGAGUCAGAUUUGGGUCUGCCCCCCUGAAUUCCCAGAGCUCUCAAUAAAAGCACCUGCAUGGAAUCGUAUCCCGUGGUUAUGAGCGUUCCUGAACGCUGACAAACCCAAUCCCACGGACACGGAAUUCACCUUCCUGGAGAAAAGCUGCCCGAAAAAAAGGGAUUGGGAUAAUCAGGGCAUGGAAUUGGGUGGUUUUAGGAUCCUUCCCAACCCAAAUCCCAUUCCACAGGGAUUCAACCCGUUCACCUCAACAGGACGACCCUUUAAAGGGAAUUUUCCGGGUUUCUUCCCGGGCCUCCUUUGGCCUGUGCACACCGGGAUGCUCCGAGCCUCCCUCUCCUCCCAGGGUUUGUUAUUCCCUGCCAGGAUUGCCCAAGAACCAGGAGAGGACUCAGGUGCAGCUCCCAAGGACUGAAAUUAUAUUUUCCACUCCCAAAAUCCGCUGUUACUCAGCUGAAUUCCUGCGGCUCCCGCUCCCAGGUGGGACAACAACAACAUUUCCCAAUUUCCCAGCUGGACACGGACAAGCCAAGCAAACAGAAAUGAGGAUUUUAUAUGAAUUUAGAAACUGCUCAGGGUUGUGUGAACAUCAGGAGAGCCAGAAAAGCAAAUUCACCAACAUGGGAAAAAUAAAAUCAUCCCGAAAAACGCCCUCCAGUCCUGAAGGAGUCUCGUUCUCCAGCUUCAUUCCUUAGGGUUGGAUUUGCAACAGGCCGGGGAGAACGGAGAGGGAGCAGCGUGUUAAAAUAUGGGAUUAAAACAUCAGCACUCCAAGAUUUGGGCUGUGGAAUCAAUGGGAUUGGAUUUUUUUCCAUGGAAUGGUUCAAUCUGGGAGAGACCCUCAAGAUCAUCCAUUUCCUUGAUGGAAAAGUGGAUUUGAUUUUUCCUCUGUUCCUCUUGUUUAAUCGUUGAGGGGGGGUUUCAGAGUUGUUCCAAGCAUUUAUAUAACUUAAAAAUAUUAAAAGACAACAGCCUCACGUUUCCAUGGCGACGGAGACAGCGGGAAUUCACUUGGCUUGAGUUGUCGGCAUCUCAUUUUUAAUCAAGGUUUAAAAGCCAGAGGAAAUUUGCUCGGAGCUUCCCUGAAAAGCUCCAGGCAGAACAAAGAGAAUUCAGGAACAGAACCAUGGAAUGGUUUGGGGUUGGAAGGGACAUCGGCCACGUCCCCAAGUGCCACAUCAGAUCCCUCGGUGACAUCCUGAUUUUCCUCUGGAAGCGUCCAAGGCCAGGUUGGAAGUGGCUCGGAGCUCCAUGGGGUCGUGGAAGUGUCACAGCCCAUUUUAGGGAGGUGGAACUCCAUGAAAUUCCCUUCUGACCCAAACCAUUCCAUGAUUUGGUGGUGGAAUGGAUUCUCUUGGAUCAGGACGCGUAGAGAAAAGGAAAUUUUAUUCCGCACAAAUCAGGUUAAAUUGAAAAAACCCCAAAAAAACCAGAAAAACAACCAGCCCGAAACAAAACAUUUCCAAAACUAAACCUAAAGAGCAACAGGAGCAGGAGGAAAAAACCCCAAAAUUUUACUGACUCACCCUUUCCCAGCACGUCCCAGAGGAGCUCAGAGGAGAAAACUUGACGGGUUUUGGGUCCUUCUGCUCCCCAAAAAAAAAACCACGGGCUGGACGUGAGGAAGCUCUCGCAGCCCUGGAAAAGAGAACACCACCUCGGGCACGGUGGAGCCGCCGAUCCUGCUGAGACAGUCGGCCAAAUUCCUGGAAAAAUUGCAAGUCAGGGAUUCUGCUGAGGCUGGAAAGGGAAUAAAAGGGUUUUGUGGUUGGUUUCGCGCCGUGACCGAACUUGUCCCCUCUUGGCAAAUCGAAUUUCCCCGAGUUUUGGCCACGGGGUGAAAACCACUCCGAAGGCCUCGUGGUGUCCUCAACUCAUUUGUCACCCUGGCCAGCUGUGCUUUGUCCUCCCAAAAAUAUAUUUUGGGUUUGGUCCUCGGGGUGUGUUGGGUUUUGGGGUGUGUUGAUGGACGUGCCAGUGAGGGAAUGUCCAAAGCUGGUGGGAUCGAGGGAGAAGUUUGGGGUGGACAAAUUUCAGUGGUGACCCCCAAGUUGGACAGACCGGGCAGGGCUGGGGGGGCCCUGGAGGGGGUUGAGCCCCCAAAUUUGGGGUCCCCAUCCCCAUCCCAAACGCAGCAGGGAGGGAAUGGGAGCAUGGAGGUGGAUGGGGGACACGGGGGGGACAGGUCCCGCUCUGUGCGCACGCACACGUGUAAAUACGGGAUUACCGUAUUUACAAACGCGAGUGCGCGCCGCGGGUACCGUAAUUCCCAGCGCGCACGCGCAGUGCCGCCGCGGUUGUUUGAAAUGCGCAUGUGCAAAACCAAUACCGGGUUUUGUCGUGCGCGUCGGACCGCUACCGUAAUUUCACCUGGCGCAUGCGCACUGAAAUCAGCGUAUUCUAAAUGCGCACCACACGGUUACCGUAAUUCCCGACGCGCAUGCGCAUCACAACUACAGGAAUUCUCAUUGCGCAUAACGCAAUUACCGUACCUCCACGUGCGCACGCGCACCGUAAGUACCGUAAUGUCCGAUGUGCAUCCAGCUUUUACCGUGUGUCCAAAUGCGCAUGCGCACACCAAGCAGCGCAGCUCCAAUGAGGAUCACGCGGUACCGUAUUUACAAAUGCGCAUGCGCGCCGCACCGCGGUACCGUAAUUCCAAACGCGCACCCGCAACUACCGCGUUUCCAAACACGCAUGCGCACCGCAACUGCCGUAAUUCCGAACGCUCCUCCGAGCCCAGUUACCGUAAGUACAAAUCCGCAUCACAUCUCAAGUGCCGUAAUUCCGAGGGCGCCCUGAUUCCAAAGGUACCGUAUUUCCC
ensembl:lncRNA